UACGUAGGUGGCGAGCGUUGUCCGGAAUUACUGGGUGUAAAGGGCGUGUAGGCGGGGAUGUAAGUCAGAUGUGAAAUACCCAGGCUUAACUUGGGAACUGCAUCUGAAACUACAUUUCUUGAGUAUCGGAGAGGAAAGUGGAAUUCCUAGUGUAGCGGUGAAAUGCGUAGAUAUUAGGAGGAACACCAGUGGCGAAGGCGACUUUCUGGACGAUAACUGACGCUGAGGCGCGAAAGCGUGGGGAGCAAACAGG
rnacentral:rRNA from 1 species